rnacentral:misc_RNA from 1 species
UCCGGUUUGUCACCGGCAGUCUCAUUAGAGUGCCCAACUAAAUGUAGCAACUAAUGACAGGGGUUGCGCUCGUUGAGGGACUUAACCCGACAUGCCACCACACGAGCUGACGACAGCCAUGCAGCACCUGUCUCUUUGUCGUAUUGCUACGAAAGUUACAUCUCUGUAAUUGUCAAAGGAUGUCAAACCUAGGUAAGGUUCUGCGCGUUGCUUCGAAUUAAACCACAUAAUCCACCGCUUGUGCGGGCUCCCGUCAAUUCCUUUGAGUUUUAGUCUUGCGACCGUACUUCCCAGGCGCGGUACUUAUCGCGUUAGCUCCGAGACGGCAGGGGUCAACUCCCACCAUCUCUAGUACCGAUCGUUUACAGCGUGGACUAC